rnacentral:lncRNA from 1 species
GGGAUGGUUGGGUUCAUGCCAGGUCGGUUCUGAUUCAGGCUGGGAUGGGGGGGUCGGGCCGGGUUGGGCUGGCGCAGGUCGAGUGGAGGCCAGGUCGGGUCGGGCUAGGGGUCGAGGACGGUGGAGCGGCGCGGGGCGGGUCGGGCUGGGGCUGGUCGAGUGGAGCCAGGUCAGGUCCGAUUGGGUUGGGGCGGGUCUGGCCAGGAUGGG